CGACACCAAGUGAACGUUGGAUCUUCUAAUUGUCUCCGUUCUAAUUCACCCCUGCUCCACGUACUGUGUGUGGAAUAACGGGCGUGGUACGCUUGUUGGCCGAACGGGCUGCUUGUUUCCUACAUGUUUACCAAGAGGAGGGCUAGUUUGGUGACAAACCUGUCUUUGACACGUACAUGCGCAAAGCAGAUAAUGGACGUGAUGGAGUUUGGGCCAUCAUCUGUGCUCGGUCGAUGGUUUGCACUGGAUGCUGUCGCUGGUGGAAAGCAAUAAUGUGAAGCUGCGACUACGAACGACCCACAAUCACUGCCGACGCUGAGAUGAUCGGCAAUGCGACAGCUUAGCCUGUACCCGGCAAGAAAACGAUACCAAAGGAACGUAGCAGACAAAGCAGGACCUGAUUACAACGAUGACCGAAGGAAAGACCACAAUGACAUAUGGAAAUGGCGGUGACGACAGCAGGAAUCGGGUACCCUAUGUGACCAGCAGAAGGAUUUUGCUGUACAAACGUUCCGAAGACUUGUUGCCAACAAGAUUGUAAGCAUUGCUGUUGGCAUCAAGAGCGUUUUUGCUUAACCAGAGUUGCUACUUGGGACAAAAAUAGCCCUGGCAACAUUUCGGUGCACCCUCCUGGCAAAGCACGUUGCCCCUCUCGAAACACUGAGUGACAACGGCGUUGGAAAGACUCGUCCGCUCCGUGGGCAUUGCCUGGCGUGAGCGAAUAAAUAGUCGCUGCGGUGAUACGGGCUUAGCGCUGUUGUGCUUUUGCAUAGUAGCGUAGCCGCUUGGAUCUAGCAAGAGAAGUAGCCAGUAAUCCCGUGUGGCUGGAAUAGAUUGUCACACAGUUUCCUAUUUCGUCCUAUCCUGUUCCGUAUGCCCGUAAAACAACCCUUUUUCCUUUAGCACUGAAGCCAACCUUCGACAUUUUGCUGGCCGUCCUUCUUAGGCGACUUACCGUGCUUCCUGUCUCCUACCGCCUUUGAUAUAUCGCCUCUCACGUAUAACCGGCUUUUUAUAUGAUUUUCGCAGUGUUCCCUUGACAGGACGGGACAGUAACAAUUGGCAACGGUAUUACGAAAAAUAUUUUGUUAGUGACUCAACCAAUGGAAACAGUUUCUUCUUAGCAAGAAAUUAGUCAGUACCACAAAUGGCGAUCAUUGUGUAUGUGUAGGUGUGAAUAUGUGGUGUUACAAAUUCACGCGGAUACCCUACGGACCCCACUUGAAGAGGGCUGUUCAACUUGGAAGAUUCUGCGAGAGCCAGCAAUCACAUCAAGUAGUUGCGCAUCCAUCAAGCAAGCGACCACCUCUGCCACGAGCUGAAGAUGGGGAUGGUAAAAGAUCUGCGGUCACCAACCAUUUGUAAUAGGGGAAAGUGGCAAAUUCCCUGCCAGGGGACUACUGCCGAUGACGUAAUCUGGCUAGCGAUGGUCAUUGAUUAACCUGAGCACAGGGUUAUUCGCGGAUGGCAGGAUCGAGGCAAAAAGGAUACCCCGCAUUACACAGCGUUGGGUGCUAAUUGGAGAUAAUUAACCGGAUCGCCUGAAUAAUGGGGGCCCUGUGAUAAUAGUAUAGAAAGAUCAUUUAAAAAUGCAAAAGGUAGGACUUAGGCUAUAUUACUUUAUGUAUCUAUAUGGUAACACUAUGUGUUCGUGUUGUAAUUUUGCUAUAAUCCUUUAUUGCUCUAGCAUAUAUAUAUAGUUAGAAUUCUUUUCUGUGCACAGAAGGUUUUCGCAGCGAUAAAAACCAGUCAAUGUACGAGGCACUGUCAUUGGCAGAUUAGCUUAUUCAUCAUAGGCGUAACAAUAAUUAGCAACGGGGAGAUUUCGUGAGGAACCAUGCUGACCUGUUUCGCGAUGUCCCGAUCUAAGGGGAUCCACCAAAAAAACUAGUACUUCAUUUUCGCUAAAGGGAAACAUCUAGCGUGAAGAUCGUAACUCUUUGCCUAUUAGACGUUGUCAGUAGUUGUUCUGGCGAGACAACAAGAUAACAAUAACGGGAUGAACGGAACAUUCGAUCGGAGCAUUUGAGCGUGGACGAAACAAUAACA